rnacentral:rRNA from 1 species
CCUACGGGAGGCAGCAGUGGGGAAUCUUGCGCAAUGGGCGAAAGCCUGACGCAGCAACGCCGCGUGCGGGAUGAAGGCCUUCGUGGUUGUAAACCGCUUUCAGCAGGGACGAAAAUGACGGUACCUGCAGAAGAAGCCCCGGCUAACUACGUGCCAGCAGCCGCGGUAAUACGUAGGGGGCAAGCGUUGUCCGGAAUCAUUGGGCGUAAAGAGCUCGUAGGCGGUUCAGUAAGUCAGGUGUGAAAGCUCCGAGCUCAACUCGGAGAGGCCACCUGAUACUGCUGUGACUAGAAUCCAGUAGGGGAGUGUGGAACUCCUGGUGUAGCGGUGAAAUGCGCAGAUAUCAGGAAGAACACCAGCGGCGAAGGCGGCACUCUGGGCUGGAAUUGACGCUGAGGAGCGAAAGUGUGGGUAGCAAACAGGAUUAGAUACCCUGGUAGUCCACACCGUAAACGUUGGGCACUAGGUGUGGGGAGGAUCAACCCUUUCCGUGCCGUAGCUAACGCAUUAAGUGCCCCGCCUGGGGAGGUACGGCCGCGAGACGUAAACUACGAAGAAGUAGACGCGNGAGACGUGCCGACGACGACGACGAGGGAGUAGG